rnacentral:miRNA from 1 species
UAAUUAGAACUCAUACUAGAC